GUCCUAGCCCUAAACGAUGAGCACUUGGUGUGGCCCCUUACGGGGCCGUGCCGGAGCUAACGCGUUAAGUGCUCCGCCUGGGGAGUACGGUCGCAAGGCUGAAACUCAAGGAAUUGACGGGGCCCGCACAAGCGGUGGAGCAUGUGGUUCAAUUCGACGCAACGCGAAGAACCUUACCUGGACUCGAAAUUUUGUCGACCGUCUCAGAGAUGAGGCUUUCCCGCAAGUGACGGCAGAAUAGGUGCUGCAUGGCUGUCGU
rnacentral:rRNA from 1 species